rnacentral:lncRNA from 1 species
GGACCCUGCUGGUCUAGACAGAUAAUAACCUCUCCACCAAGUCUUGGUGGAACCCACAAGCCUGAAAGUGCAAAAAUCGACCCCAUUGGUCUCCACUAUCCUCGUAGUACUCAGGAUCUCAUGACAAUUGUAUAGAAAAUCCUGGGGGUCCUCCGAUGAAGCACCGCUGAAGGUAGUAGUGAAAAUCUUGGAGAACCGAUCAAGCCUCCACAAAGCAUCUGAAGACAUGGCC